AGUGAACGCUGGCGGUAGGCCUAACACAUGCAAGUCGAACGGCAGCACAGGAGAGCUUACUCUCUGGGUGGCGAGUGGCGGACGGGUGAGGAAUACAUCGGAAUCUACUUUUUCGUGGGGGAUAACGUAGGGAAACUUACGCUAAUACCGCAUACGACCUACGGGUGAAAGCAGGGGAUCUUCGGACCUUGCGCGAUUGAAUGAGCCGAUGUCGGAUUAGCUAGUUGGCGGGGUAAAGGGCCACCAAGGCGACGAUCCGUAGCUGGUCUGAGAGGAUGAUCAGCCGCACUGGAGCUGAGACACGGUCAAGAAUCCUACGGGAGGCAGCAGUGGGGAAUAUUAGACAAUGGGCGCAAGCCUGAUCCAGCCAUACCGCGUGGGUGAAGAAGGCCUUCGGGUUGUAAAGCCCUUUUGUUGGGAAAGAAAUCCAGCUGGUUAAUACCCGGUUGGGAUGACGGUACCCAAAGAAUAAGCACCGGCUAACUUCGUGCCAGCCGCCGCCGUAA
rnacentral:rRNA from 1 species